rnacentral:rRNA from 1 species
AUUGAACGCUGGCGGCAUGCCUUACACAUGCAAGUCGAACGGUAACAGGUUAAGCUGACGAGUGGCGAACGGGUGAGUAAUAUAUCGGAACGUGCCCAGUCGUGGGGGAUAACUGCUCAAAAGAGCAGCUAAUACCGCAUACGACCUGAGGGUGAAAGCGGGGGAUCGCAAGACCUCGCGCGAUUGGAGCGGCCGAUAUCAGAUUAGGUAGUUGGUGGGGUAAAGGCCCACCAAGCCAACGAUCUGUAGCUGGUCUGAGAGGACGACCAGCCACACUGGGACUGAGACACGGCCCAGACUCCUACGGGAGGCAGCAGUGGGGAAUUUUGGACAAUGGGCGCAAGCCUGAUCCAGCCAUGCCGCGUGCGGGAAGAAGGCCUUCGGGUUGUAAACCGCUUUUGUCAGGGAAGAAAAGGCUUCUGCUAAUACCGGAGGCUCAUGACGGUACCUGAAGAAUAAGCACCGGCUAACUACGUGCCAGCCGCCGCUGUAA